rnacentral:misc_RNA from 1 species
AACGCACAUUGCGCCCUUUGGUAUUCCGAAGGGCAUGCCUGUUCGAGCGUCAUUAUCACCCCUCAAGCCCGGCUUGGUGUUGGACGUCUAGCCUGACCUGUUAGGCCACGCCCCAAAGAUAAUGACGGUGGUCUGUGAAGUCACCAGUGCGACGAGCCCCCGGGCAUGUACUGUUCUCGAGUUCCAGCGCCGGUCUCCGCUUAGUCUUCUCUAAGCAAACACUUUUUGAAAGGUUGACCUCGGAUCAGGUAGGGAUACCCGCUGAACUUAA